GAUGAACGCUGGCGGCGUGCCUAAUACAUGCAAGUCGAGCGAACAGACGAGGAGCUUGCUCCUCUGACGUUUGCGGCGGACGGGUGAGUAACACGUGGAUAACCUCCCUAUAAGACUGGGAUAACUUCGGGAAACCGGAGAUAAUACCGGAUAAUAUAUUGAAAAGCAUGGGUCAAUAGUGAAAGACGGUUUUGCUGUCACUUAUAGAUGGAUCCGCGCCGCAUUAGCUAGUUGGUAAGGUAACGGCCUACCAAGGCAGCGAUGAGUAGCCGGUGUGAGAGGACGACCAGCCAGACUGGGAGUGAGACACGGCCCAGACUCCUAAGGGAGGCAGCAGUGGGGAAUUUUGGACAAUGGGGGAAAGCCUGAUCCAGCAGUGCGGCGUGUGUGAAGAAGGCCUUCGGUUUGUAAAGAACUUUUGUCCGGAAAGAAAUCCUUGGCCCUAAUACGGUCGGGGGAUGACGGUACCGGAAGAAGAAGCACCGGCUAACUACGUG
rnacentral:rRNA from 1 species